AGUGAACGCUGGCGGUAGGCCUAACACAUGCAAGUCGAACGGAAGCACAGUAAGAGCUUGCUCUUACGGGUGGCGAGUGGCGGACGGGUGAGGAAUACAUCGGAAUCUACUUUUUCGUGGGGGAGAACGUAGGGAAACUUACGCUAAUACCGCAUACGACCUACGGGUGAAAGCAGGGGAUCUUCGGACCUUGCGCGAUUGAAUGAGCCGAUGUCGGAUUAGCUAGUUGGCGGGGUAAAGGCCCACCAAGGCGACGAUCCGUAGCUGGUCUGAGAGGAUGUUCAGCCCCACUGAAACUGAGACACGGUCCAGACUCCUACGGGAGGCACCAGUGGGGAAUAUUGGACAAUGGGCGCAAGCCUGAUCCAGCCAUACCGCGUGGGUGAAGAAGGCCUUCGGGUUGUAAAGCCCUUUUGUUGGGAAAGAAAAGCAGCAGGUUAAUACCCCGCUGUUCUGACGGUACCCAAAGAAUAAGCACCGGCUAACUUCGUG
rnacentral:rRNA from 1 species